rnacentral:rRNA from 1 species
UACGUAGGGGGCUAGCGUUGUCCGGAAUCAUUGGGCGUAAAGCGCGUGUAGGCGGUCCGGUAAGUCUGCUGUGAAAGUCGGGGGCUCAACCCUCGAAUGCCGGUGGAUACUGUCGGGCUAGAGUGCGGAAGAGGCGAGUGGAAUCCUGGUGUAGCGGUGAAAUGCGCAGAUAUCAGGAGGAACACCUAUUGCGAAGGCAGCUCGCUGGGACGUAACUGACGCUGGAGACGCGAAAGCGUGGGGAGCAAACAGG